UCUCUAUCACCCCGACUAGCUUUGCUUUUGGGUGGGAAACAGGGCCACACACAGCUCUGCACCCAUCUCUUUUAAGUUUCACCACUAGAGGAAAGGACCACCUUCUUUUGGUUCUCAUUCAAAGAAAGCAGUCCAGGAAAAUGAUUGUCUCCGAUUGGCUGAGCUUUGGGCUAUUGACCAUUCUUGGACCAAUCAGAAUACAGAAUUCUGCAACUGUCACCUAAAUUGAAUUCCUUUGGUAACUAAGUUUGUACACUGAAACAGAGCAAUCAUCCAAGAGGAUGAGAGAGGUCAUUGGAGAUAUAAGUAACAACAUGAGAAAGAGAAGUAUGACUGUCUCAGGCUGUCUUUCCUGGAAGAUGAAGACUACCUGGCUCUUGGAGGUUCCUUCACUGCUGGGUGCCCCUGAUGGAGAGGUCUACUUCCGGAUUUUCUCUUCUGUUUCACUGAGCUGUGUGUCUGUCCAUCUACUAGAAGAACCACACUGUCUUCACUACUACAAUGUAUGGUGCUGACACCAGGAAAAUAAUAGAAGUUAACACAGUUAUGGGCUGCCAAUGAGGUGA
rnacentral:lncRNA from 13 species